GAUGAACGCUGGCGGCGUGCCUAAUACAUGCAAGUCGAGCGAACAGACGAGGAGCUUGCUCCUCUGACGUUAGCGGCGGACGGGUGAGUAACACGUGGAUAACGUACCUAUAAGACUGGGAUAACUUCGGGAAACCGGAGCUAAUACCGGAUAAUAUAUUGAACCGCAUGGUUCAAUAGUGAAAGACGGUUUUGCUGUCACUUAUAGAUGGAUCCGCGCCGCAUUAGCUAGUUGGUAAGGUAACGGCUUACCAAGGCAACGAUGCGUAGCCGACCUGAGAGGGUGAUCGGCCACACUGGAACUGAGACACGGCCCAGACUCCUACGGGAGGCAGCAGUAGGGAAUCUUCCGCAAUGGGCGAAAGCCUGACGGAGCAACGCCGCGUGAGUGAUGAAGGUCUUCGGAUCGUAAAACUCUGUUAUUAGGGAAGAACAAAUGUGUAAGUAACUAUGCACGUCUUGACGGUACCUAAUCAGAAAGCCACGGCUAACUACGUG
rnacentral:rRNA from 1 species